GAGUUUGAUCCUGGCUCAGGAUGAACGCUGGCGGUAUGCUUAACACAUGCAAGUCGAACGAAGUCUUCGGACUUAGUGGCGGACGGGUGAGUAACGCGUGAGAAUCUGGUCUGGGGUUCGGGACAACCACUGGAAACGGUGGCUAAUACCGGAUGUGCCUACGGGUGAAAGAUUAAUCGCCCCAGAAUGAGCUCGCGUCUGAUCAGCUAGUUGGCGGGGUAAAAGCCCACCAAGGCAGCGAUCAGUAGCUGGUCUGAGAGGAUGACCAGUCACACUGGGACUGAGACACGGCCCAGACUCCUACGGGAGGCAGCAGUGGGGAAUUUUCCGCAAUGGGCGAAAGCCUGACGGAGCAAUACCGCGUGAGGGAGGAAGGCUCUUGGGUUGUAAACCUCUUUUCUCAGGGAAGAAGCUCUGACGGUACCUGAGGAAUCAGCAUCGGCUAACUCCGUGCCAGCAGCCGCGGUAAUACGGAGGAUGCGAGCGUUAUCCGGAAUGAUUGGGCGUAAAGCGUCCGCAGGUGGCGAUUCAAGUCUGCUGUCAAAGGUCGGGGCUCAACCCUGAACAGGCGGUGGAAACUGAACAGCUAGAGUGCGGUAGGGGUAGAGGGAAUUCCCGGUGUAGCGGUGAAAUGCGUAGAGAUCGGGAAGAACACCAUUGGCGAAAGCGCUCUACUAGGCCUGCACUGACACUCAGGGACGAAAGCUAGGGGAGCGAAUGGGAUUAGAUACCCCA
rnacentral:rRNA from 1 species